rnacentral:tRNA from 1 species
GGCGGGUUGGCCGAGUGGUUUAAGGCAGUCGUCUUGAAAACGACCGAACGGGGAACCGUUCCGUGAGUUCGAAUCUCACACCCGCCGCCA